rnacentral:SRP_RNA from 12 species
GGCCGCGACCGGGCGGCCCCUCCGGAUACUCGAAAUCGGCGGGGGGCGGGGGACGCUGGCCGCGUCCCUGCUGGACUAUCUGGCGGAGGAACGUCCCGGCCUGUACGAAACUGCGACCUACACG